UCCUAGACCUUAUUUAAGGGCUGACUGCCACUGGGGAGGGAUUUCUGGUUGGAGAUCCCUCCUUUGUGGAGUCCUUUCUGCAAACCUAGAUCUUUGGAGACAGAUUUAUUUCCCUCCUGCAAAGAGUUUCUUUAAGAAGACCCUUAGCCUUGAAAUAGAACUAGAGUCCGAGUAAGGAUUUCUGAAUUGUUCUGUUGUAUGAGAAGGUCUGUGUGAUGUCAGCGUAUAUCAACACCAGAUACUUGCCAGCCUGCUCAAUCUGACUGCUUUUUGUACAUCAGAAACAAGUAACUGUUUCACUACACAAUAAAAUCCACUACUUCCACAGCAGAAAUUUUUUAUGAGUAGGUCAUCUCUGAAGAUAAAGCAAAAACAUCUAUGGUAUGUACUUAGCCUUACACUUGCUCCGUGUGUUUGCCCGCCUGGGGACCUUUCUUUGUGAAUGGCUUUGAGGGAGUGAAGUGCUAUGUAUCGUUUGAGAGAAAACGAUGAACAACAGGGAAUCCUGAGUAUGGACCUAACUUAUGCUUAAUUCUAAGGAGAUGAACACAACCAUGUCUUUCACCUGGGUUUUCAAGAGACCAUAAUUGUUGCCAUAUGUUUGAGAGAGAGACUAAAUGACAGUUUGAAGACAUUCUCUGUGUCUAAGGGAGAGAUCCUCAGUUUUGCCUUCUGCUGUCAUCAGAUAAUUCUCCUUUCUGUUCUGGUGUGAGUUUUUUAAGCCUAGUGUAUUUUUUUUUUUUUUUACCCUUGUUGCUGAAUGUCAUAUGAACACGUAUUUGAGUAGCUGUAUUCAAAGUUGGAAAGAACUUCUGUCUCUUUUUGAUGACAUAAAACUAAUCCAUGUUCUUGGAAAGAGCACACACUGAACAUGGUCUGCAUGCAUGAUGUUCCUUUAUUGCCAAUUGCCUGCUGUUGUAGGACAUGACAGGUAUCCCUACUGCUUUGCUGAACAAAUUGGAGGACAGGCUGCUUGUCAGAACCUUUCAGAAGUGGGUGAAGUUCAACUUCUGGUUGAUACUCAGUGGUGCAGUUUGAACUCAUAAAAAGCUGGGGUGAAAGAGAAGAACUUGGAAGAGAAGGCUCUUGCAUGAACACAAAUAAUCUUCAUAAAUAAUUGCUGCUGCUUUCUCGAUGUCUUUUUGGCCAUAAUUUGAAUUUAUGAUUUUACACUGCCCACCUGAGAAAGACUGAUUAUAGUGCCUUCUAUUUAGUAAAAUUCAUUCAGAUGUGUCCUACUCUCUGAAUUGGAGAAGAUUUCAAAUGAGACUGUGGUCUCCUCAUCCUGAAUGAUACAGGAAUUCACUUGAAUAUUUAUUUAAUUAGGCUGAAGGAUGUUGAGAAUAAAUACAUGAUUAUAUAAAAUAUGGAUUUUAAUGCACUAUAAAUAGGAGAAAAAUUAAUUUCUAGGAUAUUUAAGUUAAAGGCUACCACAGUAAGAUUGAUAGAAGUAGAAAGAGAAAUCAGUCUGCUAGAUUAAAUAAUGGACUCUAACUGCUUGACUUAUGUCAGCUUUAAUGUCAUAGCAGGUGCUUUGAUAAUGCAAAAUAUUUCCACAGCUCUUCAUUCAACAGAGCACAUGAGGUGAAGUAAGAACAAAUGUGCUGCUGUUAAUUACCAAUCCCUGCUGGGGAAGGAGAGUGCAAGGGGAAAACUUGCACAUGUAUCUUGAUAGGACCCAAGACAUUUCCUGCUUAGUAAUGUUUUAUUUAGGCCUGUAGAUAAUAAGAGUUUUUUGUUUGGUGGUGGUGAUUGUUUUUUCCAGUAUUGGCAAAUGCAAAAUAAUACAAUGUUAGAUGCUUGGGGAAGAUAUUUAGUCAUGCAAUAAGUAAUUUCUCAAGAGAAAACAAUUAGAUUCCUCAGGAAUUUAACCCUGUGUUUAACAACAUAGAUAUGAUAAAUGAUAGAACUGUAAGCUGCUUCCACUAGUUUGGCAAUAGCACGGCUCAAUGUGUAACUCAGUCUACAGUACUAUCUUGUAGUUCUUCCCAGCAUAUCAAAUAAUGUGUAAAGAACCCAAAGAACUAACCGAAAAUAAUAAACUUCGUUGCUGUUCUCUGCCAUUGUU